rnacentral:rRNA from 1 species
AUACGUAGGGGGCGAGCGUUGUCCGGAAUGAUUGGGCGUAAAGGGCGCGUAGGCGGCCCGGUAAGCCUGGAGUGAAAGUCCUGUUUUUAAGAUGGGAAUUGCUUUGGAUACUGUCGGGCUUGAGUGCAGGAGAGGUAAGUGGAAUUCCACGUGUAGCGGUGAAAUGCGUAGAGAUUGGGAGGAACACCAGUGGCGAAGGCGACUUACUGGACUGUAACUGACGCUGAGGCGCGAAAGUGUGGGGAGCAAACAGGAUUAGAUACCCUGGUAGUCCACACUGUAAACGAUGAAUGCUAGGUGUAGGGGGUAUCGACCCCUUCUGUGCCGCAGUCAACACAAUAAGCAUUCCGCCUGGGGAGUACGGCCGCAAGGUUGAAACUCAAAGGAAUUGACGGGG